rnacentral:rRNA from 1 species
AUGCAAACGCUCUCCCAAGAGCAAAAGGUGUACAACCGACGCCAUUGCCACCCGGAAAGCCAUACCACAGCACCACCAACACGCGUCGCCGAGCUCCACAAAGGGAAACAUGGCACUGGGAGGAACCAACACACAAGGAGAAGCAGAAUGCACGGUGGGACUGCUGAUGACAGAGCAACAAUGGAGGGAAGCCACAUAACUGAACUUGGAGAUGGCGCCAUGACCACAGAAGGCGAACAGGGAACCACCAAGACACCACCAACUCCCACCAAUCAGACCGAACUCACCACCACUCCAUGCUCACCGAAGGCAGCACCUCCAUGA